UGCAGUCGGACGGUAACAGGUCUUCGGACGCUGACGAAUGGCGAACGGGUGAGUAAUACAUCGGAACGUGCCCAGUCGUGGGGGAUAACUACUCGAGAGAGUAGCUAAUACCGCAUACGAUCUGAGGAUGAAAGCGGGGGACCUUCGGGCCUCGCGCGAUUGGAGCGGCCGAUGGCAGAUUAGGUAGUUGGUGGGAUAAAAGCUUACCAAGCCGACGAUCUGUAGCUGGUCUGAGAGGACGACCAGCCACACUGGGACUGAGACACGGCCCAGACUCCUACGGGAGGCAGCAGUGGGGAAUUUUGGACAAUGGGCGAAAGCCUGAUCCAGCAAUGCCGCGUGCAGGAUGAAGGCCUUCGGGUUGUAAACUGCUUUUGUACGGAACGAAAAAGCUUCUCCUAAUACGAGAGGCCCAUGACGGUACCGUAAGAAUAAGCACCGGCUAACUACGUGCCAGCAGCCGCGGUAAUACGUAGGGUGCGAGCGUUAAUCGGAAUUACUGGGCGUAAAGCGUGCGCAGGCGGUUAUGUAAGACAGAUGUGAAAUCCCCGGGCUCAACCUGGGAACUGCAUUUGUGACUGCAUGGCUAGAGUACGGUAGAGGGGGAUGGAAUUCCGCGUGUAGCAGUGAAAUGCGUAGAUAUGCGGAGGAACACCGAUGGCA
rnacentral:rRNA from 1 species